rnacentral:lncRNA from 1 species
UACAUUUUUGGUUUUUUCCAAAUGUAUUAUAAUGAGUACUUAGUCCCUAAACACUUUCUGUGGUUAGAACAGAAGCAUAUAAUGUGGAAAGCUCCCUCCUGGGUGAGGUAGACACUGGCAACCUGCACGUGUCCUUUUGGCAGUUCUGGGUCUCUUUGUUCCCUCCAGUGUGGAGCCCAUGGUCCUGAGGCAAAUGAGCUGAGGACCCUAGCUGGGCCUAAAAGGCACACAGACAGGCACAGCAAUCUCUGAGAGUUCUCUUUGAAGGACACCCUCAUUUCCCUGCUUAUGGCCCAUAUCUAACUUGCAUGGCCAUGGCCCUUACUCCAAAAAAAAUGACCUUAACUGAGAAAGCGGGGGGCCAAAGCAUUCUGUCAAUGGCCUGUGCAGGUAAUGGGCUGGCAUGGUGCUGGCACCAGAACAGGCACAGCAGGGCAUCAGGAUGGCCACCAAAGCUCAUUAGCAAUUUUCAUUAAUUCCUUGGGCCUAUUUAUACCUCGAGAUUUGUAACCUGGUUUCCUGGCAGAGAACAGAUCAGAGUUGGACCAGAAAAGUACAAGAGGCAGGGAUACCCUAAUUGAAGCUGCCCAACAGCUCUACACAGAGCAGAAUCCAAAGCCUGCACCUGGAAGCAGUUACACUGGAGGCUGCAAAGCUGGCCACAGAUCACAACCUCCUUAGAAGCUACUCUAGUUGCCAAGUGCACCUGACAACAUCCCCUCUACUGAGCUCCCAAUCAUCACAGUACAUCCCUCCUCUGCUGAAAAGCCUCAAAGUGCCCCAUCGGCUCAGAAUUGAGCCAGUCAUCCAAGGUCCCUCAGGCCUGGAGCUCUAUACCCUUCCCAACUUUAUCUCCUUCUACAACAUUCAACAAGCACGGUCUCCCUCCACUGGCAGCCUGUGUCCCAGCUGUUCACUCUGCAGACUGCAUUAUGAUCCUUGCCUCCUUCAGGUCUUUGCUCAGAUACCACAUCCUCAAGAAAGCCCUCACUAAAGCCACACCAUGUCCCACUUACAGUGGUGGACCCCCCGCCACAACCCCACAUCUCAGCACCUAACCCUGCUCUAUUUACUGUGUCACCAUCCUCUAGCAAGCUGUAACUUAUUAUGGAUUUUGCAAUGUUUCCCUCUUGCCACCCUACUCAAUUGUCAGCUCCACAAGGGCAGGGAUUUAAAACAGAAGAAUGAAAAUAUCCACACCUAUAAUAGGAAACAGUGAGAUAGGUCUUUUGCAAAUGGGGCCAGGGAUUUAGCUCAGUGGUUUCACCGCCUGCUGCAAAUGGGAAGAGGACCAAGACAUGGAUGGAGGGGGAG